AUCCAACUGACGCGUCCGAAAAAGGACGAAACGCGCGUCCUGGAU
rnacentral:hammerhead_ribozyme from 1 species